rnacentral:rRNA from 1 species
GAUGAACGCUGGCGGCGUGCCUAAUACAUGCAAGUCGAGCGAACGGACGAGAAGCUUGCUUCUCUGAUGUUAGCGGCGGACGGGUGAGUAACACGUGGAUAACCUACCUAUAAGUCUGGGAUAAAUUCGGGAAACCGGAGCUAAUACCGGAUAAUAUUUUGAACCGCAUGGUUCAAAAGUGAAAGACGGUCUUGCUGUCACUUCUAGAUGGAUCCGCGCUGCAUUAGCUAGUUGGUAAGGUAACGGCUUACCAAGGCAACGAUGCAUAGCCGACCUGAGAGGGUGAUAGGCCGCAUUGGAACUGAGACACGGUCCAGACUACUACGGGAGGCCGCAGUAUGGAAUCUUCCGCAAUGGGCGAAAGCCUGACGGAGCAACGCCGCGUGAGUGAUGAAGGUCUUCGGAUCGUAAAACUCUGUUAUUAGGGAAGAACAUAUGUGUAAGUAACUGUGCACAUCUUGACGGUACCUAAUCAGAAAGCCACGGCUAACUACGUG